CACCAGCCCCUCGAGUGGUGGGGAUGAUUAUUUGGCCUAAAGCGUCCGUAGCCGGCCGGGUAAGUUUCCCGUAAAAUCCAGCGCCUCAAGCGUUGGACUGCGGGAAAUACUGCCUGGCUAGAGAGUGGGAGAGGUCAGCGGUAUUCUGGGGGUAGGGGCGAAAUCCUUUGAUCCCCGGAGGACCACCAGUGGCGAAGGCUGCUGACUAGAACACGUCUGACGGUCAGGGACGAAAGCUGGGGUAGCGAACCGGAUUAGAUACCCGGGUAGUCCCAGCCGUAAACGAUGCAUGCUAGGUGUUGGGUUGGCCACGAGCCACCCCAGUGCCGCAGGGAAGCCGUUAAGCAUGCCGCCUGGGAAGUACGAUCGCAAGAUUGAAACUUAAAGGAAUUGGCGGGGAGCACCACCAGGCGUGAAGCCUGCGGUUU
rnacentral:rRNA from 1 species